rnacentral:rRNA from 1 species
GUAGGAGGCAAACGUUAUCCGGAUUUACUGGGCGUAAAGCGCAUGCAGGCGGUUUUUUAAGUCGGACGUGAAAGCUCCUGGCUCAACUAGGAGAGGCCGUUCGAAACUAGAAGACUUGAGGAUGGUAGAGGAGAGUGGAAUUCCCGGUGUAGUGGUGAAAUGCGUAGAUAUCGGGAGGAACACCAGUGGCGAAAGCGGCUCUCUGGGCCAUUCCUGACGCUCAGAUGCGAAAGCUAGGGGAGAGAACGGGAUUAGAAACCCCGGUAUUCCUAGCCGUAAACGAUGUCAACUAGGCGUAGGAGGUCAUUUACCCCUUCUGUGCUGUAGCUAACGCGUUAAGUUGACCGCCUGGGGACUACGGCCGCAAGGCUAAA